rnacentral:rRNA from 1 species
AUUGAACGCUGGCGGCAUGCCUUACACAUGCAAGUCGAACGGCAGCACGGGUGCUUGCACCUGGUGGCGAGUGGCGAACGGGUGAGUAAUGCAUCGGAACGUGCCCAGUCGUGGGGGAUAACGCAGCGAAAGUUGUGCUAAUACCGCAUACGUCCUGAGGGAGAAAGCAGGGGAUCUUCGGACCUUGUGCGAUUGGAGCGGCCGAUGUCAGAUUAGCUAGUUGGUGAGGUAAAAGCUCACCAAGGCGACGAUCUGUAGCUGGUCUGAGAGGAUGAUCAGCCACACUGGAACUGAGACACGGUCCAGACUCCUACGGGAGGCAGCAGUGGGGAAUUUUGGACAAUGGGGGCAACCCUGAUCCAGCCAUGCCGCGUGAGUGAAGAAGGCCUUCGGGUUGUAAAGCUCUUUAGGCCGGGAAGAAAUCGUGCAGGCUAAUACCCUGUAUGGAUGACGGUACCGGAAUAAGAAGCACCGGCUAACUACGUGCCAGCCGCCGCCGUAAGAC